rnacentral:rRNA from 1 species
GGGGAAUAUUGGACAAUGGGCGAAAGCCUGAUCCAGCCAUGCCGCGUGAGUGAUGAAGGCCCUAGGGUUGUAAAGCUCUUUUGUGCGGGAAGAUAAUGACGGUACCGCAAGAAUAAGCCCCGGCUAACUUCGUGCCAGCAGCCGCGGUAAUACGAAGGGGGCUAGCGUUGCUCGGAAUCACUGGGCGUAAAGGGUGCGUAGGCGGGUUUCUAAGUCAGAGGUGAAAGCCUGGAGCUCAACUCCAGAACUGCCUUUGAUACUGGAAGUCUUGAGUUCGGGAGAGGUCAGUGGAACUGCGAGUGUAGAGGUGAAAUUCGUAGAUAUUCGCAAGAACACCAGUGGCGAAGGCGGCUCACUGGCCCGAUACUGACGCUGAGGCACGAAAGCGUGGGGAGCAAACA